UUAAGCGACUAAGCGUACACGGUGGAUGCCCUGGCAGUCAGAGGCGAUGAAGGACGUGCUAAUCUGCGAUAAGCGCCGGUAAGGUGAUAUGAACCGUUAUAACCGGCGAUUUCCGAAUGGGGAAACCCAGUGUGAUUCGUCACACUAUCAUUAACUGAAUCCAUAGGUUAAUGAGGCGAACCGGGGGAACUGAAACAUCUAAGUACCCCGAGGAAAAGAAAUCAACCGAGAUUCCCCCAGUAGCGGCGAGCGAACGGGGAGGAGCCCAGAGCCUGAAUCAGCAUGUGUGUUAGUGGAAGCGUCUGGAAAGGCGCGCGAUACAGGGUGACAGCCCCGUACACAAAAGCGCAUGUGUUGUGAGCUCGAUGAGUAGGGCGGGACACGUGGUAUCCUGUCUGAAUAUGGGGGGACCAUCCUCCAAGGCUAAAUACUCCUGACUGACCGAUAGUGAACCAGUACCGUGAGGGAAAGGCGAAAAGAACCCCGGCGAGGGGAGUGAAAAAGAACCUGAAACCGUGUACGUACAAGCAGUGGGAGCUGAGGGAAAGGCGAAAAGAACCCCGGCGAGGGGAGUGAAAAAGAACCUGAAACCGUGUACGUACAAGCAGUGGGAGCCCCACCACUAAGCCAGUGGUGAACUCCACAUACGCAUCCUUUGCUGAGGAUACGGUUAACGGAGCGCAAGCGACGUUCAACCGCAAAAGAAGCAGAGGGGGCUUAGUGGUGGGGUGACUGCGUACCUUUUGUAUAAUGGGUCAGCGACUUAUAUUCUGUAGCAAGGUUAACCGUAUAGGGGAGCCGGAGGGAAACCGAGUCUUAAUUGGGCGUUAAGUUGCAGGGUAUAGACCCGAAACCCGGUGAUCUAGCCAUGGGCAGGUUNAGGGAAACCGAGUCUUAAUUGGGCGUUAAGUUGCAGGGUAUAGACCCGAAACCCGGUGAUCUAGCCAUGGGCAGGUUGAAGGUUGGGUAACACUAACUGGAGGACCGAACCGACUAAUGUUGAAAAAUUAGCGGAUGACCUGUGGCUGGGGGUGAAAGGCCAAUCAAACCGGGAGAUAGCUGGUUCUCCCCGAAAGCUAUUUAGGUAGCGCCUCGUGAAUUCAUCUCCGGGGGUAGAGCACUGUUUCGGCUAGGGGGCCAUCCCGGCUUACCAACCCGAUGCAAACUGCGAAUACCGGAGAAUGUUAUCACGGGAGACACACGGCGGGUGCUAACGUCCGUCGUGAAGAGGGAAACAACCCAGACCGCCAGCUAAGGUCCCAAAGUCAUGGUUAAGUGGGAAACGAUGUGGGAAGGCCCAGACAGCCAGGAUGUUGGCUUAGAAGCAGCCAUCAUUUAAAGAAAGCGUAAUAGCUCACUGGUCGAGUCGGCCUGCGCGGAAGAUGUAACGGGGCUAAACCAUGCACCGAAGCUGCGGCAGCGAGUAAUAGCUCACUGGUCGAGUCGGCCUGCGCGGAAGAUGUAACGGGGCUAAACCAUGCACCGAAGCUGCGGCAGCGAACGUAUCACUUAAAGCGAUUCAGCGGGUUACGAUUGACGGAGCGAAGCGACGUCAAAGCGUAUACAAAGUCGAGUCGGUUUAAGGAUACGUUCGUUGGGUAGGGGAGCGUUCUGUAAGCCUGUGAAGGUGGCCUGUGAGGGUUGCUGGAGGUAUCAGAAGUGCGAAUGCUGACAUAAGUAACGAUAAAGCGGGUGAAAAGCCCGCUCGCCGGAAGACCAAGGGUUCCUGUCCAACGUUAAUCGGGGCAGGGUGAGUCGACCCCUAAGGCGAGGCCGAAAGGCGUAGUCGAUGGGAAACGGGUUAAUAUUCCCGUACUUGGUGUUACUGCGAAGGGGGGACGGAGAAGGCUAUGUUGGCCGGGCGACGGUUGUCCCGGUUUAAGCGUGUAGGUGUGUGUUCCAGGUAAAUCCGGUUCACUUUAACACUGAGGCGUGAUGACGAGGCACUACGGUGCUGAAGCAACAAAUGCCCUGCUUCCAGGAAAAGCCUCUAAGCAUCAGGUAACAUCAAAUCGUACCCCAAACCGACACAGGUGGUCAGGUAGAGAAUACCAAGGCGCUUGAGAGAACUCGGGUGAAGGAACUAGGCAAAAUGGUGCCGUAACUUCGGGAGAAGGCACGCUGACAUGUAGGUGAAGUGAUUUACUCAUGGAGCUGAAGUCAGUCGAAGAUACCAGCUGGCUGCAACUGUUUAUUAAAAACACAGCACUGUGCAAACACGAAAGUGGACGUAUACGGUGUGACGCCUGCCCGGUGCCGGAAGGUUAAUUGAUGGGGUCAGCGCAAGCGAAGCUCCUGAUCGAAGCCCCGGUAAACGGCGGCCGUAACUAUAACGGUCCUAAGGUAGCGAAAUUCCUUGUCGGGUAAGUUCCGACCUGCACGAAUGGCGUAAUGAUGGCCAGGCUGUCUCCACCCGAGACUCAGUGAAAUUGAACUCGCUGUGAAGAUGCAGUGUACCCGCGGCAAGACGGAAAGACCCCGUGAACCUUUACUAUAGCUUGACACUGAACAUUGAGCCUUGAUGUGUAGGAUAGGUGGGAGGCUUUGAAGCGUGGACGCCAGUCUGCGUGGAGCCGGCCUUGAAAUACCACCCUUUAAUGUUUGAUGUUCUAACGUGGACCCGUGAUCCGGGUUGCGGACAGUGUCUGGUGGGUAGUUUGACUGGGGCGGUCUCCUCCUAAAGAGUAACGGAGGAGCACGAAGGUUGGCUAAUCCUGGUCGGACAUCAGGAGGUUAGUGCAAUGGCAUAAGCCAGCUUGACUGCGAGCGUGACGGCGCGAGCAGGUGCGAAAGCAGGUCAUAGUGAUCCGGUGGUUCUGAAUGGAAGGGCCAUCGCUCAACGGAUAAAAGGUACUCCGGGGAUAACAGGCUGAUACCGCCCAAGAGUUCAUAUCGACGGCGGUGUUUGGCACCUCGAUGUCGGCUCAUCACAUCCUGGGGCUGAAGUAGGUCCCAAGGGUAUGGCUGUUCGCCAUUUAAAGUGGUACGCGAGCUGGGUUUAGAACGUCGUGAGACAGUUCGGUCCCUAUCUGCCGUGGGCGCUGGAGAACUGAGGGGGGCUGCUCCUAGUACGAGAGGACCGGAGUGGACGCAUCACUGGUGUUCGGGUUGUCAUGCCAAUGGCACUGCCCGGUAGCUAAAUGCGGAAGAGAUAAGUGCUGAAAGCAUCUAAGCACGAAACUUGCCCCGAGAUGAGUUCUCCCUGAGACUUAAAGUCUCCUGAAGGAACGUUGAAGACGACGACGUUGAUAGGCCGGGUGUGUAAGCGCAGCGAUGCGUUGAGCUAACCGGUACUAAUGAACCGUGAGGCUUAACCUU
rnacentral:rRNA from 1 species